UUGAUACAGUCGCUUUUCCUCUGUCCUGUAGUUCGUGGACGGAGAACACCAGAUCCUGUAUCCUUGCUGGCAGCUCUGCUUGGAGAGAGAGUGAAGUUGCAGAGAUUGAUCGCAGCAUUGAAACAAAGCUGGAUGAGUUUAGCAAUCUGGCUGCAGCUGGUCAAAUGCUUAUGCCAGAUGAGAGUCAGUUUAAAGACAUUAUCAAGGAGAGAACAGAUGAGUUGCAAAGCAUGCUGGGAUGGAUCCAGGUGAACUGGCACGCUCAAAGAGAGCAGCUUAAAAGAAACCAGAAUGGGAGACCAGAAUCAACAAAUUAUCUUUUUCAACAGCAGGCUAUGCCUUUCAAAAAAACUUCUAACAGUGUGCAUUGUAAAUGAAGAGGUCAAAGGAAGUGCUAUUGAAACACAGCCCUCUCAAAACAACUUUGAGCAACUGAGUGGGAGGCAUGAUGUGUCCAGUGUUGUUAGUCAGGAGUUCUGCCUUUCAAAGACAUCCCUAGGCUCUAGCAUCUGUCUCAUUUUGAGCUUUGAUGAACAGUCUUCAGGCAUCAACCAAGUGACAAAGCAACGGUCACCCAACAAUAAUGAAAUACUUGAAGAGUCAGCAAACAGCAUUCAGGCAGACAGACGUCAAUCACAAGACAAAAACUCAAUGCAAAUGCAAGAUCCAAAAGAAAUGCUUCAGGUGAGAUGGCCGAAUGAAUCAGUUAUGAGUAAAGAGACCAAACCCAAGUCAUCUUGUGUAAAUCUUGCACAGUUGCAAAUCAAAAACCAAGGAGAACCAGACCAGUCACCAAACAAGGAGGAAAUAUCCAGCCAAUUGUCCACAUAUAACACUGAAUCAUCAAUUUGCAAUCACCUACCAGAGAAUCUGCAGUGCAACAACAACCAAACAUAUCUGCAGCUAUUACCAGACAUUGAUCAAAUGCAAAAUCCAGAGCAUCAAGUGCAAAAACCUCAGUCACAAAGCUACAGUCAGAACUCGACGCAAAAAUCUGCACACAACAAUCUAGAAAUAAACCAAAACCAAAGUGACGACCACCUGUGGCAUGAAGUGGCAACUGAAGUCACUCAUAGAGUGUUCACGUAUUUGCACGUCUCGGAUAGUUACAGAUCCACAGGGCGAGCCUUGGAGGUUGUGUCCUCGACACAUGCAGCAGAGCAGGACGUGACAACCCCUGCAUCAGGUUCCUCCUCAGUGCAAUCGUCCUCCUUCCUUUGGCAAAAUGUCACACUUGAGAGAGGAACGGUUUACAAUCACAACAGAUUCAAGCCAAGUUCUUUGUUCAAGCUGAAAGAGCCAAUCAGGAGUAAGGAGGAAAACCAGCGAAGGCGCUCUCUGCUUGGCACUGUUGGAUCGGAAAGGUCUGGCAAACCUUCAAGCAUUUUCAGGCGAAGGUGUAACACUUGGCCAGAAGGAGAAAGGAGAGCGAAAGAAAGUCGAUCAAACUCCAAACUUCAGGUUUUUAUAAAAAAAAACAUGUUGCUGGUGAAUUCUGUCAUCGAUAACAAGUCCGACUAUUUUCCAGAAGACAAUUUGCCUAAUGCUGUCAAGACUUCAAGUGAACCAGUUAAAAACAUCGGCUCUUAUUUGUCUCUAGGAUCCACUCUUAGCUUCAAUCUUCCCAAGUGCUUUCACAACAGUGUCUUGGACAUGGAAAAUAAAGAGGAGAUUCAACCUGUCCAGACUUAUGAUGACUCAAACAACCAAACAUUACCCUCAGCUCGAACGCCACAGUCAGAAAUGGAGGUAGAACCAGUGAUUCAUACUAAACAAACUGAAAUAAACCUUCAUACGGUUGAUGUGGAAGAUUUGGACAAUACAGAAGAACCAACCACUGAGGUUGAGACCCAACAGUUAAACCAAGUUUAUGAAUGCACAGAAACUGUUAUGAGGGUUUUCACAUUGGUUGAAUAUGAAAAACCUGAUAAUGUUUCCUCCAGCCAUCACAAAGCCUCUUCUCCAGUGGUUAAUGGCUCUGCCUCGGUCACUCACUGCGGGCCUCUGUGUCCUUCUUCAUCAGGUGGUCACAAUUGCUUAAGUGUUUACACUAAACUUAAAGACCUGAAUGGCCACUUAUAUUACACAUCUAAACACAUGAAGAUAAACUCCUCAAAAAACUUGUUCCCAAAUAGCCCAGUCUCUCGUAAGAGCAGCCGCAUCAUAAACUGUGGUCUGAGAGACUGUGCAGUGUGUUUCAGUGAUACAGUGAAAGAGACAAGUGUAGACUGUGCAGAGAAACCUGACAUCAGCAUGGAGGAGCUUCUUAAGCCAGGCCACUGGCUAUUCCAGCAGGAGGAAGAGGAACUGGAAGAUAUCUGGAGAGGAAGAAUGGGUAUUCUCACUUCAAACUGUACUGUGGAAACAAAUACGGAUGAAGAAACAGGUAUAGGAGAGGAUUCUUACAAUAAAGGUUAAUGACUGAUAUUGAAUUAAGAAAUUAAUAUUUGUAUUCAUAAUGGACAUAUUAAAUUGACCAAAAGUGAC
ensembl:lncRNA